GACGAACGCUGGCGGCGUGCUUAACACAUGCAAGCCGAACGGAAACGCCUUGCUAUUGUGGUGUGCCCGGUUGGCGGGCUAGUGACUAACCCCCGAGUUGCCUCCCCUUGCUUUACUGAUAACUUCACGAAACUGCGGCAUACUCCAGGAGGGAGCCCCUCUGGCAUGGUGGGGCUUGGAUCGGUUCUGCGAUUGUGGAUGGACUCGCGGCUUACCGGCGUGUUGGUGGGGUAGUGGCUUACCAAGGCUUUGAAGGGUAGCCGGCCUGCGUGGGUGACCGGCGACAAUGGGACUGAGAUACGGCCCAGCCUCCUAUGGGAGGCAGCAGUGGGGAAUAUUGCGCAAUGGGCGGAAGCCUGAUGCAGCAACGACGCGAGCGGGAUGACGGCCUUCGGGUUGUAAACCGCUUUCGCCUGUGACGAAGCGUGAGUGACGGUAAUGGGUAAAGAAGCACCGGCUAACUACGUG
rnacentral:rRNA from 1 species